AGGUCCAGCAAUCCCUAGAUCUUGAACAGACAUAAAAAGGUUUUUUACAAUAUAACAUUUUUUUGGAAUUGAAAAUAGAGUUCUAUUUUGAUGAUCGAAAUUAAACUGUUCGAAUGAGCUAUGUUAUUGAUAAUUCCUUUCGCGCUUGUACGGUAGCCUGUACGGGAAAAAGUAGUAUUGUGUGGGAGCCAAUGCCACCGUACAAGUCGCCGAUUGGUUAGAGGCCUGUACGGCAUAUUUUGAUUGGUUAACUAUAGUCAUGUGGUCUACGACCGAAGGUUAUAUAAGUAAGCUCGCUACUUUCCUACGGCAGAUUUCUACAAGUUGAGCGGCGGUAACAUUCAAAUCUCUUAAAAGAAAAUUAAGGUGAGACUACUCAUAAUGUAAUAAUCAUAGUAAAAACUUAGUUAGAAAUCUCCUACCACACUGGACAACCAAAACUUGUAUUUCUGAAAAUUCAGCACUUGUAUAAAGUCUGUUGUAGUAUACAGAGUUCACCACAUGAAGAGAUUUUAUUUGUGCCUUGUUUUGUUUAUUCAUCAUAAUAAAUACAGAUUAAGACUGAAAAGUUUCUAGUAUUCUUCACCAAAAAUGGAAGAGAAGUGUGACCGAGAUAUUGUUUAUUGAAGUUAAAUGAUCUUUGGAAUUAUCCUGACAUGAGUUGAUCUGCUGAGGAUUCAGAAAUAUACAAGCAAACCCCUAUCCUUGGGUAGCUUACAGUAUAUACACUCAUCAUUUGAGGUGCAGAACUAGCAGCUGAAGUCGCCAUCUCUUCUCAUAGUACAAAAAGACUCACCCAAACAGCAUAAGCUGCCAAAAUACUGGAGUGUAAACAGAGCAUGGAGGAGAGACAGGGUGUGGAGACGAGAGGUGCAGACUCAGCAGCUGAAAUCACCAUCUCCAGCCAAAUUACACAAAGACCCAGGGCCCAUUCAGGUAAUUUAAACUAUAUACUUUUG